UAGUAACUGCGAGUGAAGAGGGAAAAGCUCAAAUUUAAAAUCUGGCGGGCUCUGCUCGUCCGAGUUGUAAUCUGGAGAAGCGUUUUCCGCGUCGGACCGUGCACAAGUCUCCUGGAACGGAGCGUCAUAGAGGGUGAGAAUCCCGUCCAUGGCACGGAGCGCCGAUGCUUUGUGAUACGUUUUCAAAGAGUCGAGUUGUUUGGGAAUGCAGCUCAAAACGGGUGGUAAAUUCCAUCUAAAGCUAAAUAUUGGCGAGAGACCGAUAGCGAACAAGUACCGUGAGGGAAAGAUGAAAAGCACUUUGGAAAGAGAGUUAAACAGUACGUGAAAUUGUUGAAAGGGAAACGCUUGAAGUCAGUCGCGUCCGACGGAACUCAGCCUUGCUUCGGCCUGGUGUACUUUCUGUCGGACGGGUCAACAUCAGUUUUGACCGGUGGAGAAAGGYAGGGGGAAUGUAGCGCCGUUUCGGCGGCGUGUUAUAGCCCCUUGCUGUAUGCAUCGGUCGGGACUGAGGACCGCAGCACGCCUUUUUGGCCGGGGGUUCGCCCUACGUACCGUGCUUAGGAUGUUGGCAUAAUGGCUUUAAGCGACCCGUCUUGAAACACGGACCAAGGAGUCCAACAUGCUUGCGAGUGUUCGGGUGGAAAACCCUUGCGCGUAAUGAAAGUAACAGUUGGGAACCUCCGCAAGGGGGUGCACCGACGCCCGGCCCUGAAGUUCUCUGACGGUGCUGCGGUAGAGCAAGUAUGCUGGGACCCGAAAGAUGGUGAACUAUGCCUGAAUAGGGCGAAGCCAGAGGAAACUCUGGUGGAGGCUCGUAGCGAUUCUGACGUGCAAAUCGAUCGUC
rnacentral:rRNA from 1 species